rnacentral:tRNA from 1 species
GUGGCUAUAGCACAGUGGUUAGUGCAUCGGUCUGUGGCACCGAUGACGAGGGUUCGAAUCCCUCUAGCCACC